AGGCUGGUCAUGAACUCACAGAG
rnacentral:piRNA from 1 species